rnacentral:rRNA from 1 species
GAGAAUAAUUCGCAAUGGACGAAAGUCUGACGAUGCGACGCCGCGUGAACGAUGAAGGCCUUCGGGUUGUAACGUUCUGUUGUCCUGGAACAAGAGUAGCUGACGAAUAGUUGGUUACGAUGAGGGUACAGGAAGAGGAAGCACCGGCUAAUUCCGUGCCAGCAGCUGCGGUAAUACGGAAGGUGCAAGCGUUAGUCGGAAUUACUGGGCGUAAAGGGUGCGUAGGCGGUGAUGUAAGUCGGACGUGAAAUUCCGGAGCUCAACUUCGGAACGGCGUACGAAACUGCAUCACUUGAGGAAUGGCGGAGAAAAUGGAAUUCCAUAUGUAGCGGUGAAUGCGUAGAUAUAUGGAAGAACACCUGUGGCGAAAGCGGUUUUCUAGCCUACUCCUGACGCUGAGGCACGAAAGCAAGGGGAGCAAACA